rnacentral:rRNA from 1 species
UACAGAGGUCUCAAGCGUUUGUUCGGAUUCAUUGGGCGUAAAGGGUGUGUAGGUGGCGCCGUAAGUCGGGUGUGAAAUUUCGGAGCUUAACUCCGAAACUGCAUUCGAUACUGCGGUGCUUGAGGACUGGAGAGGAGACUGGAAUUCAUGGUGUAGCAGUGAAAUGCGUAGAGAUCAUGAGGAAGACCAGUGGCGAAGGCGGGUCUCUGGACAGUUCCUGACACUGAGACACGAAGGCCCAGGGGAGCAAACGGG